UACAGAGGGUGCGAGCGUUGUCCGGAAUCACUGGGCGUAAAGGGCGCGUAGGUGGCGCGGCAAGCGUGCGGUGAAAGCUCGGGGCUCAACCCCGAGUCGGCCGUGCGAACUGCUGUGCUUGAGCACUGUAGAGGCAGGCGGAAUUCCGGGUGUAGCGGUGGAAUGCGUAGAGAUCCGGAAGAACACCGGUGGCGAAGGCGGCCUGCUGGGCAGUGGCUGACACUGAGGCGCGACAGCGUGGGGAGCAAACAGG
rnacentral:rRNA from 1 species